ACCUUCCAAGGAGAGCUCAUAAAGAAGAAACAUGUGCAGGCCCGUGGGAAAAACACCCCAGAGUUUAUUCACUGAGCAUCUCCUUUUCCUUGUGGGUUUCCUCCACUACUCAGUUGGACUAGGAGUCUUGUCCUGACCCUUCCCUAUAGAAGAGCCACAGAAUCAGUGACCUCCCACUGACAAGAAAGCUCCACCUUGUGCCCUGCAGCUCCACACGUGCAAAUAAACCAGAAUUAAAGGGAAGUCAUGCUGGGGUGUGGAAUGCUAUCUGCCUCCUUCUUUGGGGUUAUGGUCUUUGUGAAGACUAUUCCCCACCCAGACACACAUGGAGUCCCUGCCAGUCCUCCUCUACCUAUUGGCCAUUCUCCAUGGUGUUGAAGUCAAGGAUCACAUUGUGCAAUGGGGAUAUGGGACAGUGGUCUCCUCGCAGAAGCUCAGACUCGCUUGUGCCACCUACACACUUCCGGUUUCUGAAUCUUCUAUGUCGUGGAUCCGCCUUCACCCAGGAAAGGGGCUGGAGUGGGUCAGUGUAAUAUCGGCUAACGGAAACACCAACUACAGCCCCAACCUUCAGUCUCGGGUGAGCAUCUCCAGAGACACAAGAGAGAACCAAGUGUUCUUACAGCUGAGCACUGUGACUGCUGAGGACCCAGGUGUGUAUUACUGCACCCAAGGCACUGUGGUCCAGGUUCACUGGGAGCCCAGACAUAAACCUCCCCUGCAGGGGACAGGAGGGGCUCAGCUGCAGAGGGUGCUCAGGAAACACCAAGUAAGUUCCCAGCCACAGGGGAAGGUGUACAAGAUGUUGAGGAGGGGCUUCCUGUGA